CCCUGAGAGGAUUGAAUCUGGUGGGGGGUUAAGGACUAAAAUAAUGACCUGGUCAGGCCACAGACAGGUGGGAGUGGGAGUGGAUGAGCUGAUUUGAAAGGUGGAGGAAGUGAGUGAUGAGAGAGGGGUGACGUGAAUCCUGAGUGAGCUGGUGUGGAAUGGCUGACCUGAGAUCCGGAGGUUCACUCUGGUUUGAUUGCCUGCAAUCAGCUCCAGGAUGCAGCCAUCAGAAGCUGGGUACACUGUGGUCAUAAAAGGAGGACAUGGUCAGCAACAAUACUCAGAUAGGCUGUAGCGAUUAAAUUAUGCUCGUUGAUACUAAAGGACCCAAAAUGUGCCAAAAGGAUUCCCUACACCAUUACACCACUAGCCUGAAUCAGUGAUAGAAAGCAGGAUCGAUCCAUGAUUUUAGUUCUGAACCUAGCUUUUGAGUUUUUCAGCAGAAAUUGAGUGUCAUCAGACCAGGCAACAUUUUCCAAUCUUUUAUGGCCAAAUUUUGAUAAGUGUAGACUGUAGCCUCAGUUUUCUGUUUUUAGCAUGACAGCAGUGGCAUCCAGUGUGACCUUCUGCUGCUGUAACAGAUCUACUUCAAGGCUCAGUGUAGGCUCUUCUGCACACCUUGGUUGAUCAUUCUUGGGCUGGUUUUUUGCAAAGUCCCU
ensembl:lncRNA